rnacentral:rRNA from 1 species
AUGAGUGGCGAACGGGUUAGUAAUACGUGAGUAACCUGCCCUUGACUCUGGGAUAAGCCUGGGAAACUGGGUCUAAUACUGGAUAUGACCUCCUGUCGCAUGGUGGGGGGUGGAAAGGGUUUGUACUGGUUGUGGAUGGGCUCACGGCCUAUCAGCUUGUUGGUGGGGUAAUGGCCUACCAAGGCGACGACGGGUAGCCGGCCUGAGAGGGUGGCCGGCCACACUUGGACUGAGACACGGCCCAG